rnacentral:rRNA from 1 species
UACGGAGGGUGCAAGCGUUGUUCGGAAUUACUGGGCGUAAAGCGCGUGUAGGCGGUCGAGCAAGUCAGAUGUGAAAGCCUUCCGCUUAACGGAAGAAGUGCAUUUGAAACUACUCGGCUGGAGUACGGGAGAGGAGAGUGGAAUUCCCGGUGUAGAGGUGAAAUUCGUAGAUAUCGGGAGGAACACCAGUGGCGAAAGCGGCUCUCUGGUCCGAUACUGACUCUGAUACGCGAAAGCGUGGGGAGCAAACAGG